GCCGAAGUGGCGAAAUCGGUAGACGCAGUUGAUUCAAAAUCAACCUCCUUCGGGUGUGCCGGUUCGAGUCCGGCCUUCGGCACCA
rnacentral:tRNA from 2 species